GCAUUUGUCUGCUUCAGGACCAAGGAACUGAACUGUGUUCUUAUUAGUACCAUCAAAUGUUUUCUUUUUCAGUGUGGAGUCAGUACAGAGAAGAGGCCAAAUUCUCCCUGAUUUUAGCAGGCUUCCCAAGACACGGGUACAUGAUCUCUUUUCAGCUGCAGGAAUCAAAUAGAAAUCCAUGCCACUUCCCUGCUUCCAUGAAUGUCAGAAUUCAGGUUGCCCUGGAGACAUGAUGCUGCAU
rnacentral:lncRNA from 12 species